UGUGCUCAUCCCUCUGCAAAGCACAGGGGUGCAGCAGGUAGCCCCUCUGCCCGGAUGGCUGCAGGCAGGGGCUGCAGACCUUGUGGAGGGCUUCAGGGAGGGAGCGCUGCUGCAGCUCGGGAGAGGUGCAGGGCUGGGAGCGGAGGCAGAGCUGACAUCUGCUUGUCAGCCCAGCAGCCGCUGUCUCUUCAGGUGACCUUGAGCACACGCCGUCAGCAGCACACUCGGAAAGCCUCCUCUGCAGCAAGGAUUAUGAGACCAACCCACCUCACAGGAGACAUCAAUAAUUGCUGAGCCUGUGAGUACGAAUUGUCUCUUGAAAGGAACUAAGAGACCUCGUGAGCACCGAGGAAAAGAAAAUGCAACUUGGAGAGACAGUAACCUGACAGCUUCCCCGUCCAAAAAUAUCUUGCAGACUCCUAAUUGCACAGAUUGCUUCUGAUUACAUCAGGUAGCACCAGGAAGUAGGUUACUCUGCAGCGGGGAGAGGCGACAAAAUAAGAGGAAUUCAGGCUACGCUCUCUUUGAUCAAACUCUGGUUCACCAAGACUCUCAUUUCUGACAACAACAAAAAAAAGAACGACGACGACGACGAGACACAGAAACACCUGCAUCAUCACAAAGCAGCACCAUCGCCAGCAUGACUGCUUUAUCCACACUGGUCCCUACUUCAGCUCCUGCUGCUCCUUUUGUGCAUUGUGACACCCAACACUGAGGAAGCAGGGACAUAUUUCAGAGAGCUGGUUCUGCUGAGACAGGAGAAUAUUCUCACUUCCAUGUGUUUGCCCUUCUCCAGCUCAAUUCACCAAACAUUGUCUUGAACAGAAAGCAACAAUGGCUGGCAAAGUAUCACCAAAGGGGAGUGAAAUCAAGGUCAUGAAAAUCAGGAAGAAGCCACAAAAUUAAGACAAAAGCCUCCAUAGAGGUUAUUGGAGGGUAUGGAUUUGCCUGAGAGUGUCAGAAAGGGUCAGGCCUUGUACUGGAUAGGAUGCUGGCAUCUGACAGAAUGCAGAUUAGCUGCAAAGCCAAAUUUGAGAAUGGCCUAUUUUUAACAAGACUACAUAUGCCCUCCUCAGACAGAGGUUCCAGAGACUGGAGAGCUAGUGUACAUAAUAUAGCAAAAAUAUACUGGUUAAAGCACACGGAGCUGCAGGGUUGUCGUUCCUUUUUCUGAGGGAUGUGUGGAGAAAGCAAGAACGUCAAAUAACAGCGCUAGAUGCCGAGUCCUGAGAAAGGCUCGGGCCUUCACUCAACUUCAGGUUUCAAAAUCAGCUGGGAAGGCUGGGAUGUGCUU
rnacentral:lncRNA from 1 species